rnacentral:rRNA from 1 species
AUUGAACGCUGGCGGAAUGCUUUACACAUGCAAGUCGAGCGGAGCGAGGGUGCUUGCACCUUAGCUUAGCGGCGGACGGGUGAGUAAUGCUUAGGAACCUGCCUAUUAGUGGGGGACAACAUUCCGAAAGGAAUGCUAAUACCGCAUACGCCCUACGGGGGAAAGCAGGGGAUCUUCGGACCUUGCGCUAAUCGAUGAGCCUAAGUCGGAUUAGCUAGUUGGUGGGGUAAAGGCCUACCAAGGCGACGAUCUGUAGCGGGUCUGAGAGGAUGAUCCGCCACACUGGGACUGAGACACGGCCCAGACUCCUACGGGAGGCAGCAGUGGGGAAUAUUGGACAAUGGGCGGAAGCCUGAUCCAGCCAUGCCGCGUGUGUGAAGAAGGCCUUUUGGUUGUAAAGCACUUUAAGCGAGGAGGAGGCUACUCUGAUUAAUACUCAGGGAUAGUGGACGUUACUCGCAGAAUAAGCACCGGCUAACUCUGUGCCAGCCGCCGCCGUAA